rnacentral:rRNA from 1 species
AUUGAACGCUGGCGGCAGGCUUAACACAUGCAAGUCGAGCGAGCGGCGGACGGGUGAGUAAUGUCUGGGAAACUGCCUGAUGGUGGGGGAUAACUACUGGAAACGGUAGCUAAUACCCCAUACCAUCAGCUGUGCCCAGAUGGGAUUAUCUAGUAGGUGGGGUAAUGGCUCACCUAGGCGACGAUCCCUAGCUGGUCUGAGAGGAGGACCAGCAACACGUGAACUGAGACACGGUCCAGACUCCUACGAGAGGCAGCAUUGGGGAAUAUUGCACAAUGGGGGCAAGCCUGAUGCAGCCAAGCCGCGUGUAUGAAGAAGGCCUUAGGGUUGUAAAGUACUUUCAGCGGGGAGGCGUUACCCGCAGAAGAAGCACCGGCUAACUCCGUGCCAGACGCCGCGGUAAUAC